UACGGAAGGUCCAGGCGUUAUCCGGAUUUAUUGGGUUUAAAGGGAGCGUAGGCUGUUGGUUAAGCGUGUUGUGAAAUGUAGAUGCUCAACAUCUGAAUUGCAGCGCGAACUGUCCGACUUGAGUGCGCGGAAAGCAGGCGGAAUUCGUUGUGUAGCGGUGAAAUGCUUAGAUAUGACGAAGAACUCCGAUUGCGAAGGCAGCUUGCUGUAGCGUAACUGACGCUGAAGCUCGAAAGUGCGGGUAUCGAAC
rnacentral:rRNA from 1 species